rnacentral:rRNA from 1 species
CCGCGGUACUCUGACCGUGCAAAGGUAGCAUAAUCAUUUGCCUUAUAAUUGAAGGCUGGAAUGAAUGGUUUGACAAGAAUACACCUGUCUCUUUUAGAUUCUAUAGAAUUUUAUUUUUAGGUGAAAAAGCCUAGAUUGAAUUAAAAGACAAGAAGACCCUAUCGAGCUUUAGAGAAGUUAAUAGACUUAGUGUAAAUCAAUAUAAGUAAAAGAAAAACUAUUAAAUACUUUGGUUGGGGCAACCGAGGAGCAAGUAAAGCCUCCUCUCAGUGAUAAGUCUUACUUGUGUUGAUCCAAACUUUUUGAUCAAAGGAAUUAGUUACCGUAGGGAUAACAGCAUUAUCUUUUUCAAGAGCCCAUAUCGAAAAAAAGGUUUGUGACCUCGAUGUUGCAGAAUGUCCUAAAGAUGC